rnacentral:lncRNA from 1 species
CUAUUCUGAAUGCCGUUCUUUUCUCUUUUAAGUAUUUUACAAGUUUCAUUAAAACCUUUUUCUUUUCUUUUUGUCCCCUUCAUUGCUAUUACUGCCACCUGAGACUACAUUCCCCUCUAUCCAGAUAAAUAAACAAGAAUAAUCAAGCAUAACAAAUAAAUAUGGUAGUUAUGUUUGAAAAUGUCUCCUAUUCUAUAACUAUAGUCUGUCACCUCUCCAAUAAAAGUCUGGAUUUAGGAAACAAUUUGUUUCUUCCAUCUCCUCUGCACUGAUCUUCAAUAUAAUGUGAAAUUUCUAACUGAAGAAAAUAUUGAAGUCCUUACUUCAAAAGAGUGAUGAAGUCCUUACUUACAACAGUUUUUGGCACAGGUGUACAUGAUUGCUUUGGAGCAGAUGGAAGAUAUUUGGCCCAACCUUGCAGGAAACAGUGCACCCAAGAAAAGGCACAAAUUGUUACCAUGCAGUCUGAGGUCUUCUCACAUGAUAUUAGACGCCAAGCCCAGCUGUAGAAGACCCAAAUGUGGCAGAAGCAGACCCAGCUGUGGCCCGGAUGGCCUCGUGCUACCGGUGGGAACGAGAGGAUCAUCUCAAUGAAGGUACUGUAAAUAAUAAAUGGUUCAGUGUAAGAAGGGACUAAAAUUUCAUCAACCGGGAAUAUCACCAAGGAAGAUGCAUUUGUACACCAGACUGCCAUAAAGAAUAAAAAUGCAAGAAGUACCUUCACAGUAAAGAAGAUAGGGAGACUGUGAGAUUUAAUGUUGUCUAAGCAAAAAGGGAACGAAGACAGCUUCUGCACCAAGCCCUGUUGAAAUUCAAUUCAAGGCAGUAAAUAUGCAACAAAUGUUUAAUCAUUAAUGAAGAUGGUAUCCACUUCUAAUGGGGUCCUCUGUGAAGUUACCGACAGAAUGACUAGACUAGUAAGUGUGGGAAAAGAAUGAGAGAUCCGAAAAUGUUCCAAAAAGAGGCUAUCCCUACCAUUACACAGAGGUUUCUACCUUACUUAUACACCCAGAUCGUAAAGACAACUAAUGUAUCCAACUUUCCUGUGCAGGAAGAAAUGAUGGAAGAUACAAUCAGGAUGCAGGGAAACAAGGUUGACCCGUGAGAUAGAAUAUGUAUCGAGUUAUAGAUUGUAAUACUACAAGGGCAUUCCUUGUCAAUAUAUCUUGGAGAGGAAGUAAGUAACGAAGACAAGAAUAACCAAGAAGAUGAAAUCUAGGGUCAGCAACCACUUCAAUGUAGGUAUUGCGGUAACUUCCAUUAUUUUCACAGAUGCCCAGAGAACCAUAAACCACAAAAUGGCAAAGAGGUGAAAGCAGCUAAAUCCACAAUCUCUUGAGACUGGACAGGGCUGAACUGAGUAAAUUCCAGUUUACCAUCUCUCCCAUCAGUCAUCAUACCGAAAAGAAAAAAAAAAAAAAUACCAGCAAUAAGAAGUGAACACAAGAUUUGGAACAGAGGGACCUUAAUGCUUGCUUUAUUGUUAUUGACCAGAUAACUAGAAUUAUCUGCAUUAUCUAUGCAGAAUGGGGUUUUUAUUAUUUUUACUUAAAGAACUCCCUUUGGGGGAAUAACAAAACUUUGUAAAAGCCUGGUUUUCUCAACACACCUUUAAAUGUUUUUAAAUAGUUUCAUAUCUGGUCAAGAUUCUUAAGAAUUUCACUUUUAAAUUGUGUGAAGUUACACCUGAUCUCUUCAAAAGUUCACACACUGCAAGCACAAGUUUAAAUAAAGGUCUUUAAAUUUGAAAAAAUGUGUAAAAAUUAUUUUUAAAAUAAUUAGUGUCAAAGUCAAUAAAGUGAAAUUGAUCUUGUC